rnacentral:rRNA from 1 species
GAUGAACGCUGACAGAAUGCUUAACACAUGCAAGUCUACCAAGAAUCACUUCGGUGAGGAAUGGUGGCGGACGGGUGAGUAACGCGUAAAUAAUCCGCCCUUUAGACUGGGAUAUCCUUUGGAAACGAAGGUUAAUACCGGAUAUUAUGAGAUGGACGCAUGUUCAACUUAUGAAAGCUAAAUGCACUAGAGGAGGAGUUUGCGUCCCAUUAGCUAGUUGGUGAGGUAAAGGCUCACCAAGGCCACGAUGGGUAGCCGGCCUGAGAGGGUGAACGGCCACAAGGGAACUGAGACACGGUCCUUACUCCUACGGGAGGCAGCAGUGGGGAAUAUUGGACAAUGGACCAAAAGUCUGAUCCAGCAAUUCUGUGUGCACGAUGAAGGUCUUCGGAUUGUAAAGUGCUUUCAGUAGGGAAGAAAAAAAUGACGGUACCUACAGAAGAAGCGACGGCUAAAUACGUGCCAGCCGCCGCCGUAA